rnacentral:rRNA from 1 species
AUUGAACGCUGGCGGCAUGCUUUACACAUGCAAGUCGGACGGCAGCACAGAGAAGCUUGCUUCUUGGGUGGCGAGUGGCGAACGGGUGAGUAAUAUAUCGGAACGUACUGAGUAAUGGGGGAUAACUAAUCGAAAGAUUAGCUAAUACCGCAUAUUCUCUGAGGCGGAAAGCAGGGGACCUUCGGGCCUUGCGUUAUUCUAGCGGCCGAUAUCUGAUUAGCUAGUUGGUGGGGUAAAGGCCUACCAAGGCGACGAUCAGUAGCGGGUCUGAGAGGAUGAUCCGCCACACUGGGACUGAGACACGGCCCAGACUCCUACGGGAGGCAGCAGUGGGGAAUUUUGGACAAUAGGCGCAAGCCUGAUCCAGCCAUGCCGAGUGUCUGAAGAAGGCCUUCGGGUUGUAAAGGACUUUUGUCAGGGAAGAAAAGGCUGUUGCUAAUAUCGACAGCUGAUGACGGUACCUGAAGAAUAAGCACCGGCUAACUACGUG